rfam:Candidatus Omnitrophica bacterium 4484_171 ex4484_171_scaffold_3666, whole genome shotgun sequence.
CCGGGUGCUCACACCGGAGGGGCCACACCCGUUUCCAUUCCGAAUACGGCCGUUAAGCCCUCUAGGGCCGAUGGUACUGCCUUCGCAAGGGGGUGGGAGAGUAGGUCGGUGCCCGGC